CACACUGAUAACACAAGGUCUUGGUCUUGAACCUCUUGUUAUCCCGGCUUCAUACCUAUACAUGCAAGUCUCUACACAACAGUGAAACAGCCCACUAUUAACCACUAAUGGAGCAGGCAUCAGGCUACCGCCCACAACGCCAAGCAACUUAUAAGCCACACCCCCACGGGCUCGCAGCAGUACUUAACAUUGGGCCAUAAACGUAAGCUUGACCCAAUAUGAAGCUACUAAGGGUCGGUUAAUCUCGUGCCAGCGACCGCGGUUAUACGACAGACCCAAGACAACACUAACGGCGUAAAGCACGACUAAAAUAAUAGUAACCUAAUUAGAGAUGAGACCAAACUGGGCUGUAAAAAGCCAUAAGCCACACCAAACACCAACUCUAAUACUAAAACUACUCCCACUCGUGAAAGCAAGGAUACAAACUAAGAUUAGAUACCUUACUAUGCCCAGCUGUAACAAAACAAUUAAAUAACAAAUUGUUCGCCAAAUAACUACGAGUAAAAACUUAAAAUUUAAAAGACUUGACGGUACUUCACAUCAACCUAGAGGAGCCUGUCUAAUAACCGAUAAUCCACGAUUAACCCAACCCUAUCUAGCCUAACAGUCUAUAUACCGCCGUCGCCAGCUUACCUUGUGAAAGAAAUAAAGUAAGCAUAAUAACACUACAUUAAUACGACAGGUCGAGGUGUAACUAAUGAUAAGGAAAAAGAUGGGCUACAUUUUCUAACCCAGAAAACACGGAUAAGCUAUGAAAAUAAAAACUGAAGGAGGAUUUAGCAAUAAGAUGAGAACAUAAUACCCAACUGAAAUUAAUGCAAUGAAGUGCGCACACACCGCCCGUCAUCCCUGUAAAUCACAUAAAACAUAAAUAAUUACAUUAAAUUCCUUUAAAGCAGGGCAAGUCGUAACAUGGUAA
rnacentral:ncRNA from 1 species